rnacentral:lncRNA from 10 species
GUCAGAUUCAUAGCAACCCCAGGAAACGUAUCUUACAGGUCAGUGUCAAUAAACAUUAAGUUAAGUUAUUAAAUUUUUUGGAAAAUGGACACGAAAGGCAUUUGUAAAUUUUAAAGCAAAGUUUGUAAAGCAGAAAUAGAGCCAGAAGAGUAUCAUCCGAUCAUCAUGGUUUCCAUUGCCAUCUGGGGGCUGAAUUCUGACAGAAGUCCCCGGAACAGAUAAACAGGCUCAUUCAAGCUGGUACGGAAUUGAUCUGGAAGGAUGUGCACUUGUCAGAAACAGCACUUCAUUUUAUUCCCUUGUUUAUGAGGGACAUAAACUAGCUCACUGUAUUCAGAAGAAAACUAAGGUAACGUUUUGUUUUGAUGUUGUCCCUAUUUAGGAUACUGCUUUGAUUUG